AUUGAACGCUGGCGGCAUGCCUUACACAUGCAAGUCGAACGGUAACAGGUCUUCGGAUGCUGACGAGUGGCGAACGGGUGAGUAAUACAUCGGAACGUGCCUAGUAGUGGGGGAUAACUACUCGAAAGAGUGGCUAAUACCGCAUGAGAUCUACGGAUGAAAGCAGGGGAUCGCAAGACCUUGUGCUACUAGAGCGGCCGAUGGCAGAUUAGGUAGUUGGUGGGAUAAAAGCUUACCAAGCCGACGAUCUGUAGCUGGUCUGAGAGGACGAUCAGCCACACUGGGACUGAGAAACGGCCCAGACUCCGACGGGAGGCAGCAGUGGGGAAUUUUGGACAAUGGGCGAAAGCCUGAUCCAGCAAUGCCGCGUGCAGGAUGAAGGCCUUCGGGUUGUAAACUGCAUUUGUACGGAACGAAAAGCCCUGGGUUAAUACCCUGGGGUCAUGACGGUACCGUAAGAAUAAGCACCGGCUAACUACGUGCCAGCCGCCGCCGUAA
rnacentral:rRNA from 1 species